UGCGCUGGCGCGGAGCCGGGACCAGUACUGGCCGGGUUCGGACCCCGGCCGGGGCGCGAGCCAGGUGCACGUCGGGUUCAUUCCCGGGAGCGCGGCCA
rnacentral:tRNA from 1 species